UACGUAGGUCCCGAGCGUUGUCCGGAUUUAUUGGGCGUAAAGCGAGCGCAGGUGGUUUAUUAAGUCUGGUGUAAAAGGCAGUGGCUCAACCAUUGUAUGCAUUGGAAACUGGUAGACUUGAGUGCAGGAGAGGAGAGUGGAAUUCCAUGUGUAGCGGUGAAAUGCGUAGAUAUAUGGAGGAACACCGGUGGCGAAGGCGGCCUACUGGACAGUAACUGACGUUGAGGCUCGAAAGCGUGGGGAGCAAACAGG
rnacentral:rRNA from 1 species